UUCCCAGUAGGACAGGCCCAUGCCAUCCAAUAAUUGCUGGCUAUCUGCAAUGCUUGGAAUGAUGAUUGAGCAAGUAAAAUUAUUGGAACAAAGGCACCACGUUUCACGAUGGUCAAGUAAGACCAGUAAACUUCCUUCCCAAUACUUCCCUUUUCUCUUUCUUCAUCCUGCACCAACCGUCCUUCUUUUUCUGCUAUUUCAACACAUAGAUUGUGCUCGGAAUCUUGUUUCGUGUGUGGAAAUUCUGCAUUUGGAUUAGGUUCUGAAUUAGAUUCACCAUCAUCAGUUUCAUGAUUGAAAGUUCUACUAGAGCUUUCAACUGUCAGAAUUGAUUCUAGAGCUUCAUUGUGGGCCCCAACGAUGACUUCAAACCCAACAUUGUGUUUUAGAAGUUCUUCAAAUGAACCAGCUUGUGCAAUUCUUCCAUUUUGCAUCACCUGUUACAAUUUACCAGAUACAACCUGAAACCUUUAUGAUAGAAUAAUGUAAUAUGCUGAAGUCAGCUGUACAUAACUUUGGGUGGAAAAUCAUCCUUAAGAUUCCCUGAUCAUUUGUAUGGUUUCAGUACUCAAUGUAAGAUUGAAGAGACAAACUUCAUAAAAUGGUUCCAUCUUCAGGAGCCUCUAGUGUUUCCCAUCAAAUACUUGUAUAUACACAUCAACAUCGGGAAACAUAUCUAUCAUCAACGUGGACAAAACUCCAAUGUGAAUCAGUAUCAGUCAGAUCAUAUUGAAGCUUCCUUUUCUCUUGGGCAACAAGAAUAUGUAACACUUGAAAUAUAUUUAGUGCUUAGUCAAAUUUAAAUGACAAAGUUAUACUAGCAACCAUGCAUUUUUCUUACUUACCAAAAUGAGAUCUGCAGCUGGAAGAAACUCAACUUGGUGGGUGACAUAAAGUAUAGUCUUGUCCUUGAGGAUUCCCAUCAAACAAUCCUGAAGAAAUGAAACAAAACUUAACGUGGUAUCAAAAUUAUGUGAGACUUCAGAUUUUUCACUAUACACACACACACAAAAACACAUCAGGGUAUCAUGGUUACUUUAGGUCAGACAUAAACGUAAAGGGAAUUCAUAAAACAUUUCAAGAACAACUGUUCUUCCACUGAAUCAUUUUAAGUUAAAGCAUUUUGUGUGGAACAGUAGGACCUUGCAAAAUGUAUUAUUAUUAAUCAAGACAAAAAUCCUAAAUCUGCUGACCUGGAACAGUUGUGUGCCUGUAUGAGCAUCCACAGCACUGAAAGGGUCGUCGAGGAGAUAAAUAUCAGCAUCUUGGUAGACAGCACGGGCAAUUUGUAUUCUUUGCUUCUGGCCUCCACUCAUGUUUAUUCCUCUUUCUCCUAUCUCAGUUAGGUCGCCAGCAGAAAAAAGCUCUAAGUCCUUUGUAAGAGCACAUGCUUCAACUGUUCUAUUAUACUUGUCACUGUCAUAUGGGUUUCCAAAGAGAAUGUUUUCUCUAAUAUCUCCUGUCAAUAUCCAUGGGGAUUGAGGGACAUAAGCCUUAGUACCACUGAUCUUCACCGUCCCUGACUGCUUUGACAUCUCUCCAAGUACACAUGAGAGCAAACUGGACUUUCCUGAUCCAACAGUGCCACAUAUUGCCACCUUCAUUCCUCUUUUUACCCUUAAGUUUAUUCCAUCAAGUGUUGCACUUCCUGAUUCAGUAUUCCAGCAGAAUUUUCCCCCAUCUAUCUCAACUGAAAAUUCUGUAUCACUACAAGAAUGGUACAAAACUGCAUCUGAUUGAACUUCAUCUUGCUGCAGGAAAGAAGCAAUUCUAUCUGCAGAAACUUUUCCCUGAGCAAUUACAGACAAUAAAUCUGGUAGAUUAAAUAUGGGAUCUUGGAGCAUGCGAAAUGUUGCC
rnacentral:lncRNA from 1 species